GGAUCGGAGGAUAGUCCCACCUGAUGGAAAAGGUAUGACACUUAGCUUCAGUUAAUGCUGACUGAAAUGUUGCUCUCUG